UACGUAGGGGGCAAGCGUUGUCCGGAAUUAUUGGGCGUAAAGAGCGUGUAGGCGGCCAGAUAAGUCCGCUGUGAAAUCUCGAGGCUCAACUUCGAGCUGUCGGUGGAAACUAUCUGGCUAGAGUCCGGAAGAGGAGAAUGGAAUUCCUGGUGUAGCGGUGAAAUGCGCAGAUAUCAGGAAGAACACCCGUGGCGAAGGCGGUUCUCUGGGACGGUAUUGACGCUGAGGCGCGAAAGCGUGGGGAGCAAACAGG
rnacentral:rRNA from 1 species